CCAUAAUACUUUUAGCUCUAUUCCUACUACUAAAAACUGACAUAGCUGAUGGAAUAAUCGGGCAAUUACACGUGGUGUGCCACAUACACCUCAUACUGACGUACAAAGACCAAUUUUUAAUAGUAGAAAUGAAUAAAAUUUUUAACA
rnacentral:pre_miRNA from 1 species